rnacentral:rRNA from 1 species
AGCGAACGCUGGCGGCAGGCCUAACACAUGCAAGUCGAGCGCCCGUAGCAAUACGGGAGCGGCAGACGGGAGAGUAACACGUGGGAACGUACCCUUCAGUUCGGAACAACCCAGGGAAACUUGGGCUAAUACCGAAUACGUCCGUAAGGAGAAAGAUUUAUCGCUGAAGGAUCGGCCCGCGUCUGAUUAGCUAGUUGGUGAGGUAAUGGCUCACCAAGGCGACGAUCAGUAGCUGGCUGAGAGGAUGAUCAGCCUCACUGGGACUGAGACACGGCCCAGACUCCUACGGGAGGCAGCAGUGGGGAAUAUUGGACAAUGGGCGCAAGCCUGAUCCAGCCAUGCCGCGUGGGUGAUGAAGGCCCUAGGGUUGUAAAGCCCUUUCGGCGGGGGAAGAUAAUGACGGUACCCGCAGAAGAAG